AUUGAACGCUAGCGGGAUGCCUUACACAUGCAAGUCGAACUGAGUGGCGAACGGGUGAGUAAUGUAUCGGAACGUGCCCAGUAGCGGGGGAUAACUACGCGAAAGCGUAGCUAAUAACGCAUACUAUUGGAGCGGCCGAUAUCGGAUUAGCUGGUUGGUGGGGUACCGGCUCACCAAGGCGACGAUCCGUAGCUGGUUUGAGAGGACGACCAGCCACACUGGGGAGGAGACACGGGCCAGACUCCUACGGGAGGCAGCAUGGGGGAAUUUUGGAAAAUGGGGGACACCCUGAUCAAGCGAUCCCGCGUGGGCGAGGAAGGCCUUCGGGUUGUAAAGCACUUUUGGCAGGAAAGCGGUACCUGAAGAAUAAGCACAGGCGAACGACGUGCCAGAAGCCGCGGUAAUAC
rnacentral:rRNA from 1 species